rnacentral:rRNA from 1 species
UACGUAGGGGGCUAGCGUUGUCCGGAAUCAUUGGGCGUAAAGAGCGUGUAGGCGGCCCGGUAAGUCCGCUGUGAAAGUCGGGGGCUCAACCCUCGAAUGCCGGUGGAUACUGUCGGGCUAGAGUGCGGAAGAGGCGAGUGGAAUUCCUGGUGUAGCGGUGAAAUGCGCAGAUAUCAGGAGGAAUACCGAUGGCGAAGGCAGGUCUCUGGGCCGAUACUGACACUGAGACGCGAAAGCGUGGGGAGCGAACAGG